CAAUAGCGUAUAUUAAAGUUGUUGCGGUUAAAAGCUCGUAGUUGGAUUUCUGCCUGAGGCAGCCGGUCCGCACUUAGUGCGUGUAUCUGGUUUGGUUUGGGCAUCCUCUUGGGGAUCGUUGCUGUGCUUAGUUGCAUGGUGCGGAAUUCAAGACGUUUACUUUGAGGAAAUUAGAGUGGUUACGGCAAGCUAUCGCUUUGAAUACAUUAGCAUGGAAUAAUAAUAUAGGGCGUAAGUUCUAUCUUGUUGGUUUCUAGAACAUACGCAAUGAUUAAUAGGGACAAUUGGGGGCAUUAGUAUUUAAUUGUCAGAGGUGAAAUUCUUGGAUUUAUUAAAGACUAACUUAUGCGAAAGACAUUUGUCCAAGGAUGUUUUCUAUUAAUUCAAGAACGAAAGUUAAGGGGAGUAAAAGAACGAUCAGAUACCAU
rnacentral:rRNA from 1 species